rnacentral:lncRNA from 1 species
AUGGCAAACGGGGCAGGUGUCUGCAGCAAAAACAUGCCUCAAACCUGCUGGCGAGGCUCCGGCUGCCAGCUGCUCUCGGCGGGAGGGAAACUGCUCCCUGCAGCCAGGGGCAUGGGGACAGAGGUCCCGGUGCGACGGCCGGGAGCUGGGCUCACGUUUGGCACGGGAUGCACAAGCUCUGCGCCUGCUCCGAGCCCAGAUCUUGGCCCAGGAGCUGCUGGAGCAGGCUGGGAGCUGCCACGCAUCCCUCCUGGAGCUGGAGACUCCAACCCCUGGGGUUGGUGGCACGGAGGGGACGUGUCCCCGGCGCAGCGCUCGGUGCUGAUAAGCAGCUGGUUAAUGUGUAACGGGACGGCCUGGGGCAUGGAGAGGCCCCACCAUGGGGCCUGCAGGCAGCGGGACCUUCCUCGGGAUGUCCUGAUCCCAAGGAGAAAGGCAGCAGCGGCACCUGGAGACCCUCCUGGAGACCCUCCAGGAGCCCAAGGAGGUGCCUCGGUGGUUCCUGGACAGUUCCUGGGGCAGCAAAGGGUGCUUGGACACCCCACUCCUCCCAUGGGGUCCCUGCUCGUGGCACCCCAGGGCACCCCUGGGUGCCUGCGCCAACGUCCUGCUGCCGGCACCCCCGUCCCUGCCCUUGCUUUGACGCAGCCCCGCUCACCUGCGUCGGCUUCCUCAGGACCCCCGGCCCUGGGGGCUCCUUCCCCGGUGGCCACCUGGGGUUCCUUGUCCUUGUCCUUGUCACCCAGCUCCUUGUCACCCACGUGCCAGCCUCCGUCCUCGGCACCCGCCUGGCCUCACAGCCGGCUGAAAGCCGAGGUGCUGCUUCGGGGAGCAGACCCCGCUCCUCCUCUUCCUCGCUACCUUUGCUCCGGGCCUCUUCCCCCCCGGGGUGGCAGCGAGGGGGGAAUCGAGCCUGUUACUGCCCGGGCUCGGUGGGGAGGGAGCGGAAAACAGCUGAGCUUUACGACAGCCCGAUCCAUCACCGCAGGAGGAGAGGGGCUAAGUCGGUGCUUUAAAAAUAGCCAGCAGUAUUUUUGA